rnacentral:rRNA from 1 species
CCAACCCAAUGUGACGUUACCAAACUGUUGCCUCGGCGGGAUCUCUGCCCCGGGUGCGUCGCAGCCCCGGACCAAGGCGCCCGCCGGAGGACCAACCAAAACUCUUAUUGUAUACCCCCUCGCGGGUUUUUUACUAUCUGAGCCAUCUCGGCGCCCCUCGUGGGCGUUUCGAAAAUGAAUCAAAACUUUCAACAACGGAUCUCUUGGUUCUGGCAUCGAUGAAGAACGCAGCGAAAUGCGAUAAGUAAUGUGAAUUGCAGAAUUCAGUGAAUCAUCGAAUCUUUGAACGCACAUUGCGCCCGCCAGUAUUCUGGCGGGCAUGCCUGUCCGAGCGUCAUUUCAACCCUCGAACCCCUCCGGGGGGUCGGCGUUGGGGAUCGGCCCUUUACGGGGCCGGCCCCGAAAUACAGUGGCGGUCUCGCCGCAGCCUCUCCUGCGCAGUAGUUUGCACACUCGCAUCGGGAGCGCGGCGCGUCCACAGCCGUUAAACACCCCAAACUUCUGAAAUGUUGACCUCGGAUCAGGUAGGAAUACCCGCUGAACUUAAGCAUAUCA